rnacentral:rRNA from 1 species
CUUGCUCCUUUGACGUUAGCGGCGGACGGGUGAGUAACACGUGGGCAACCUACCCUAUAGUUUGGGAUAACUCCGGGAAACCGGGGCUAAUACCGAAUAAUCUCUUUUGCUUCAUGGCGAAAGACUGAAAGACGGUUUCGGCUGUCGCUAUAGGAUGGGCCCGCGGCGCAUUAGCUAGUUGGUGAGGUAACGGCUCACCAAGGCGACGAUGCGUAGCCGACCUGAGAGGGUGAUCGGCCACACUGGGACUGAGACACGGCCCAGACUCCUACGGGAGGCAGCAGUAGGGAAUCUUCCACAAUGGGCGAAAGCCUGAUGGAGCAACGCCGCGUGAGUGAAGAAGGUUUUCGGAUCGUAAAACUCUGUUGUAAGGGAAGAACAAGUACAGUAGUAACUGGCUGUACCUUGACGGUACCUUAUUAGAAAGCCACGGCUAACUACGUGCCAGCAGCCGCGGUAAUACGUAGGUGGCAAGCGUUGUCCGGAAUUAUUGGGCGUAAAGCGCGCGCAGGCGGUCCUUUAAGUCUGAUGUGAAAGCCCACGGCUCAACCGUGGAGGGUCAUUGG